UACGAGUGCCUCAAGCGUUGUCCGGAUUUAUUGGGUUUAAAGGGUGCGUAGGCGGUCUUUUAAGUCAGUGCUGAAAUAUCCCGGCUUAACCGGGAGGGUGGCAUUGAUACUGAAGGACUUGAGUGAAGUCGAGGUAGGCGGAAUUGACGGUGUAGCGGUGAAAUGCUUAGAUAUCGUCAAGAACACCGAUAGUGAAGACAGCUUACUAGACUUCAACUGACGCUGAGGCACGAAAGUGUGGGGAUCAAACAGG
rnacentral:rRNA from 1 species